UAGCCGCCGCCGGCAGAGGCAAUUUUUCAUAGACCAAGGUAAGCAUCCAUGUCUGAUGAUGCAAAUUUUGGCUGGUUCCAUGGGCACUUCAUUCCCCACCGUGCAAUCUUCGUUGAUUUGGAAAGAUGGCGUUGUCUGUUUAGCUAAUUCAAUCUGGUAAUUUUCUGUUCAAUCUGCCAUUGAUCAUGCUAAUUCUUGUUAUAUUUAGUUAUAUUGGAAACAACGUGAACAGGCUGCUCCUUUUUCCAAUCACAAUACUUAUGUGUGGAGAGCUCAGGCGUUGGCAGCUGUGGGGAAGCACAAGCUGAUUUGCGACUGAUCAGAGGGCGAGCUUCACAUACCUGUGUAGCUCAUAUGUGUAUGUGAUUAACUGAUUAGCAGUUUAACACACACAAGCAUUUUUUGCUUCUCUGGUUGAGUACUAGCAUAGUGAUGGUUCCCAUCUAUCUUGGCUAGAAAUAGCUAGAUAAUUUUAUUCAAACUUAUAAGUGUAUACUACUACUGAACUUCUCGCACAUAGGAUUCACCUUUUGUCUCAUCAAAUUACCAUUAUGUUGCAUAAAGUGGAAAGCAUCCGAUGUACGGGCAAUUAAGAAUCCCGUCAGUUUUGAAACCUUUCAUGGUGUACCCGCAUAAUUCUCUUCAGCAUGCAUGAGCUAGAGCAUAAUAACCUGUCAAAUAUAUAGGGAAGCCAGUCGGGCACUCGAUUCAUUGAUUUUUUUUGCAGGGACUUAAUUCAUUGAUGCAAUCCAUAUCUUACAGGAGUACUUGUUUACACCAAGAUUUUUCUUCUCGGCAAAGUUUGCUUCUUGCACUACCGAAGAAAGAUGAUGCAUGGUGUAGCAAUUGGAUGAUGUGCUCAUGAUUGUUCUUUCUUGGACAGAAUAAGG
rnacentral:lncRNA from 1 species